rnacentral:rRNA from 1 species
UAAUACCGCAUAACCACAGAAACCACAUGGUUUCUGUGUCAAAGAUGGUUUCAGCUAUCACUUUGGGAUGGACCCGCGGCGUAUUAGCUAGUUGGUAAGGUAAUGGCUUACCAAGGCAAUGAUACGUAGCCGAACUGAGAGGUUGAUCGGCCACAUUGGGACUGAGACACGGCCCAAACUCCUACGGGAGGCAGCAGUAGGGAAUCUUCCACAAUGGACGAAAGUCUGAUGGAGCAACGCCGCGUGAGUGAAGAAGGUUUUCGGAUCGUAAAACUCUGUUGUCAGAGAAGAACGUGUGCGAGAGUAACUGUUCGUGCAGUGACGGUAUCUGGCCAGAAAGCCACGGCUAACUACGUGCCAGCAGCCGCGGUAAUACGUAGGUGGCGAGCGUUGUCCGGAUUUAUUGGGCGUAAAGGGAACGCAGGCGGUCUUUUAAGUCUGAUGUGAAAGCCUUCGGCUUAACCGAAGUCGUGCAUUGGAAACUGGGAGACUUGAGUGCAGAAGAGGAGAGUGGAACUCCAUGUGUAGCGGUGAAAUGCGUAGAUAUAUGGAAGAACACCAGUGGCGAAAGCGGCUCUCUGGUCUGUAACUGACGCUGAGGUUCGAAAGCGUGGGUAGCAAACAGGAUUAGAUACCCUGGUAGUCCACGCUGUAAACGAUGAAUGCUAAGUGUUGGAAGGGUUUCCGCCCUUCAGUGCCGCAGCAAACGCAUUA